rnacentral:rRNA from 1 species
UACGUAGGGGCCGAGCGUUGUCCGGAGUUAUUGGGCGUAAAGCGCGCGCAGGCGGCUUGACGCGCCCGACGUGAAAGCCCCCGGCUUAACCGGGGGAGGGUCGUCGGGUACGGUCAGGCUUGAGGGCGGGAGAGGGGUGGUGGAAUUCCCGGUGUAGUGGUGAAAUGCGUAGAGAUCGGGAGGAACACCUGUGGCGAAGGCGGCCACCUGGGCCGACCCUGACGCUGAGGCGCGAAGGCGUGGGGAGCGAACGGG